UAAACGGCCCUUUUCAGGGCCAUUCAACUCUUUCGAUAGCAAAAUAU
rnacentral:ncRNA from 1 species